rnacentral:rRNA from 1 species
GACGGGGCCCGCACAAGCGGCGGAGCAUGUGGAUAAUUCGAUGCAACGCGAAGAACCUUACCUGGUUUGACAUAUACCGGAAAGCUGCAGAGAUGUGGCCCCCCUUGUGGUCGGUAUACAGGUGGUGCAUGGCUGUCGUCAGCUCGUGUCGUGAGAUGUGGUUAAGUCCCGCAACGAGCGCAACCCCUAUCUUAUGUUGCCAGCACGUUAUGGUGGGGACUCGUAAGAGACUGCCGGGGUCAACUCGGAGGAAGGUGGGGACGACGUCAAGUCAUCAUGCCCCUUAUGUCCAGGGCUUCACACAUGCUACAAUGGCCAGUACAGAGGGCUGCGAGACCGUGAGGUGGAGCGAAUCCCUUAAAGCUGGUCUCAGUUCGGAUCGGGGUCUGCAACUCGACCCCGUGAAGUCGGAGUCGCUAGUAAUCGCAGAUCAGCAACGCUGCGGUGAAUACGUUCCCGGGCCUU